UUUGCUGUUGUAUUUUGGAUUUUUCCUUACCCUCACGCUCACUUUUCUCCGCUGACUUCAUGGAUCGUUCCAAGAAGUUUUCCCCAGUCUGAAAUAAUUUUGAUCUUUUGACGCCAAUAAAGGUGAAGUGUCGGCUCUGCUCCACAGAGCUGUCUCCAAUAAGAGCACUUCAUCAAUGCUGAGGCAUUAUAGAGCUUGGCUUGGCAAUGAUGAAUUGGUAGAUACCCCAGGACACAAUCUCUGGAGACACCUUGAUAUGGAGGUUGAGGAGAGCAGGAUGACCUCUAAUACUACAGCCAAUUCCAUAAUUGAAGUCCAACGCUACGUGGCUGAAAGAAACACACCAAGAACACAAGACCCAUUACAAUAUUGGAAAAAUAACCAGAAUUUAUAUCCACACCUUUAUCAACUCGCACUUCAAUUCUUAUGCACACCAUCUUCAUCUGUACCCUGUGAAAGAGUGUUUUCUAAGGCAGGGGAACUUGUGUCUAAGAGGAGAAAUCGCCUUGGAGCAAACACUGCAGAAACUUUUGUUCCUCAAUAAAAAUGCAUAAAUGAAUCCAUAUUUAGUCUUUUAUUUUGUAUGAUCUAACACCGAGGUUAACACAUUUACAUAAGUUAAAACUUUUACUUUGAUUUUUAUUAGACACAUUCAGAUUUAACAUGCCAACUCAUUGUAGCAUUUACACAAAGGUUAUAAGCAACUGUUAAACUCCUUUCAUAAACAACUUAACAAAUUGAGUAAAUUAAAUUCCACAAUAUGAUAUUUUGAUUACAGAAAAUUAAAACUUGCACACCUGGUGUUGGUUUGCAGCAUGUAAGCUUUUCCAUCUUAUUUACCUGCAAUGAUUUUAGAAAUACUGCAGGUGUCACUAUUGAAUGACCAACACGGUGUCAAUACAGUGCCGACACAGUUUGUCUAGUGUGUCAAUACACUCCUUGAGGUAUCAAUCAUAUCAUCAUUCCAUCACUAGCCAACAGUCCUUUACUUCUUCUUCGUCUUGGUUUUGGUUGGCGCUCGGAGAACAAUGAACAUGUUACCGCCACCUGCUGGUCAGGACAAGAACGACACCAAUUGAGAACUUGAAGUACAAAUCCAAAAUAUAAACUUUCUUUCAUUGUAAAAACCAGGGUUCAAAAUUAACCUUUAUGAUCAUCACCUUGGAUUUCCACUAGCCAUGUUUUUCUGCAGUCAAAAAAGAGAUUAUGAAUGCCACUGAAUAAAGAUUUUGUCAUUUUAUUAACACUGCUGUUGUGAAAAAUGCACACACUAAAAUACACACAAGAACAUAUAGAAAGUGCAACAUUGAUUUAUUUUUUCCCACUGUAUCUCUUCCCUCUGAAUCAAACAUCCUCAUCCUCAGAGCUCUCUGAACUUGUUUCUUUUUCUGAAUCUGAGUAAGCAUCACUUUCUUUUGUUGCAUUUUUGCGCACAAAUUCAGGCCUGCGUCUGCGCAAACUGUCAGCAUGCCAGAUGUCAAUGGCUUUGGUUGGAUCAAAGUCAAAGGAGGUCAGAGAGGGUCUCACCUUUCAGAAUCAGAAAAACUUUAUUUAUCCCAGAGGGGCAAUUAAAAAAAUAAAAUAAAAAUAACAACAGAGCAGCAUGAUGUUGGACAUACCGUAAAUCCUCUAAUACAGGCCCGGGCCUGUAUUUGACUCAAGCUCAUCAAGCUCCAGGCCUUUAUUGGAAGGAGGGCCAGUAUUAGAGGCAGGCCUCUAUUUCUAUUUGAGCAAAAUGAACUAAUGGUUCGCUGGAGUUUUUGACAAUUAAAAUUGCGCCCACAUUUUCAAAGUUAAACACAUUUCUUUUAACAACGGUAGUUUCUGCUU